GAUGAACGCUAGCUACAGGCUUAACACAUGCAAGUCGAGGGACCGGCGCACGGGUGAGUAACACGUAUCCAACCUGCCCUUUACUCGGGGAUAUCCUUUCGAAAGAAAGAUUAAUACCCGAUAUAAAGGAUGGGGAUGCGUUCCAUUAGGUUGUUGGUGAGGUAACGGCGCACCAAGCCUUCGAUGGAUAGGGGUUCUGAGAGGAAGGUCACCCACCUUGGAACUGAGGAACGACGCAAAAUACUACGGGAGGCAGCAGUGAGGGAUAGUGGUCAAUAGGCGGUAGAAUGAACCAGCCAAGUAGCGGGAAGGAUGAAGGCUUAUGGGGUGUAAAAUCCUCUUAUAGAAGAAUAUGUAUUAUAUGAAUAAGGAUCGGCUAACUCCGUGCCAGCAGCCGCGGUAAUAC
rnacentral:rRNA from 1 species